rnacentral:rRNA from 1 species
AUUGAACGCUGGCGGCAUGCCUUACACAUGCAAGUCGAACGGCAGCACGGGAGCAAUCCUGGUGGCGAGUGGCGAACGGGUGAGUAAUAUAUCGGAACGUGCCCAGUCGUGGGGAUAACGUAGCGAAAGCUACGCUAAUACCGCAUACGAUCUAUGGAUGAAAGCGGGGGAUCGCAAGACCUCGCGCGAUUGGAGCGGCCGAUAUCAGAUUAGGUAGUUGGUGAGGUAAAGGCUCACCAAGCCGACGAUCUGUAGCUGGUCUGAGAGGACGACCAGCCACACUGGGACUGAGACACGGCCCAGACUCCUACGGAGGCAGCAGUGGGAAUUUGGACAAUGGGCGCAAGCCUGGAUCCAGCAAUGCCGCGUGCAGGAUGAAGGCCUU